AUUGAACGCUGGCGGCAGGCCUAACACAUGCAAGUCGAGCGGGGUUUUCGGACCUAGCGGCGGACGGGUGAGUAAUGCGUAGGAAGCUGCCCGAUAGAGGGGGAUACCAGUUUGAAACGACUGUUAAUACCGCAUAAUGUCUACGGACCAAAGUGUGGGACCUUCGGGCCACAUGCUAUCGGAUGCGCCUACGUGGGAUU
rnacentral:rRNA from 1 species